UGUGGGAGCUGGCUUGCCUGCGAUACAGGCGAUGCGGUGCAGCAGGCACACCGUAGCGAUGCCAUCGCAGGCAAGCCAGCUCCCACA
rnacentral:misc_RNA from 1 species